rnacentral:rRNA from 1 species
UACAGAGGUCUCAAGCGUUGUUCGGAUUCAUUGGGCGUAAAGGGUGCGUAGGCGGUAGGGUAAGUCUGGUGUGAAAUCCUGGAGCUUAACUUCAGAAAUGCACUGGAUACUGCCCUGCUAGAGGACUGGAGAGGAGAUUGGAAUUCACGGUGUAGCAGUGAAAUGCGUAGAUAUCGUGAGGAAGACCAGUGGCGUAAGCGAAUCUCUGGACAGUUCCUGACGCUGAGGCACGAAGGCUAGGGGAGCAAACGGG